rnacentral:rRNA from 1 species
GGGAAUCUACCUAGUUCUACGGAACAACACAGGGAAACUUGUGCUAAUACCGUAUACGCCCUACGGGGGAAAGAUUUAUCGGAAUUAGAUGAGCCCGCGUAAGAUUAGCUAGUUGGUGGGGUAAUGGCCUACCAAGGCGACGAUCUUUAGCUGGUCUGAGAGGAUGAUCAGCCACACUGGGACUGAGACACGGCCCAGACUCCUACGGGAGGCAGCAGUGGGGAAUAUUGGACAAUGGGCGCAAGCCUGAUCCAGCCAUGCCGCGUGAGUGAUGAAGGCCUUAGGGUUGUAAAGCUCUUUCAGUGGGGAAGAUAAUGACGGUACCCACAGAAGAAGCCCCGGCUAACUUCGUGCCAGCAGCCGCGGUAAUACGAAGGGGGCUAGCGUUGUUCGGAUUUACUGGGCGUAAAGCGCACGUAGGCGGUUUGUUAAGUCAGGGGUGAAAUCCCGGAGCUCAACUCCGGAACUGCCUUUGAUACUGGCAAGCUAGAGUCCGGAAGAGGUAAGUGGAACUCCUAGU